rnacentral:tRNA from 1 species
GCACCGCUAGUCUAAUGGUUAGGAUAUCUGCCUUCCAAGCAGAUGGUCCGG